rnacentral:rRNA from 1 species
GGCCUUUUGAGUAUAAUUUAAGGUCGGGCCUGCCCAAUGAUUAAUUAAAUGGCCGCGGUAUAUUGACCGUGCAAAGGUAGCAUAAUCAUUAGUUUUUUAAUUGAAAGCUUGUAUGAAGGGUUUAAUGAAAAAAAUACUGUCUCUAUUUAAAUUUAUUAAAAUUUUAUAUUUAAGUUAAAAAGCUUAAAUUUGUAUUGAAGACGAGAAGACCCUAUAGAGUUUAAUAUUUUAUAUGAAAAUAAAGUAUUAAGGAUUUUAAAUAAUUUUUAUAUAAAGUAUUUAAUUGGGGUGAUUGAAAAAUUAGUUUAACUUUUUUUGUAUUUUUAUAUUGAUUAAUAAAUUUGAGAUCCUUUUUAAGAUUAAAAGAUAAAAUUACCUUAGGGAUAACAGCGUAAUUUUUUUUAGAGUUCUUAUCGAAAGAAAAGAUUGCGACCUCGAUGUUGGAUUAAAAUUAAUCAUUGGUGUAGAAGCUAAUGAACUAGGUCUGUUCGACCUUUAAAUUUUUACAUGAUCUGAGUUUAAACCGGUGUAAG